AGGUGUAAAGCCGAGCUAGUUACAACAAUUUCUAAGUUCGGGAAAGUCUGUCAAAUUACUGUUUAUUAAUUAAGUUUCAAGCCAGAAGUUUUGCAUCGUUUUGUAACUCGUUGAAAUGGGAAAGUUGGCCCUUUAUAGAGCAGUUUUCUGUCGGUAAUUAAACCUAAUUGGUACGAACAUGCGUCACUAGUCCUGUUGCUAGCUAGCUGUGGCCCUCUAGCUGUGAUGUGAAAACACAUUUUGCACCGAUGGACUGAGCAACUGGAGGAGCCUUCCUUCAACUCAUGAACACAGACUGAGCCUCAGGACGGGUUGGCUAAAUAUUGCUGAAAAAAGGCUUUGGAACUGGAAGCCUUGGCCAACAGCUUUCUGAGAGGUCCAACAGAACAGAUUAUCCACCUGGAGCAGUUGGCUGUCACUCUGGCGGCGCUGCAAAGCCAACUGAAAGCCGUGGGGAAUGCUGUGGCCCUGCAUCACUGUACACCGUACAGUAUCAGCCUGAGCAAGGACAAGACCCAUCAAUAUUAGUCUGUCAUCUUAUCUGAUAGAGACGAGCCCAGUGCUGAAUCACCAAGCUCAGAACAGGCCCUAUGUUUUGUAAAGCACUUCACUUCACUCUCCUCUAUGAAUAUGAAUGGCCACGACACUCCAUAACUCCUCAAACUUUUCUUUUACUUUGCAGUACGUACAAGUUGUAUUGGUUGCAUCAGACAAAUGCAAAUAAACACCUUUAAAAGAU